rnacentral:lncRNA from 1 species
GGGGGGGCGGUUUAACCCCCCCCUGCCCGGCGGCGGCGGCGGCGGCAUUUCUAUUCAGGCGGCGCUGAGGGAGCCCGGCGCGCCCGGUGCAUUGUGGGACUGGGCCGGGAGUCCCGUUCGCGGGAGGAGGCGGAGGGCGAGGAGGAGGAGAGCCGGGAGGCAAGGGUUAAUGAAGGUGGCGAUGGGCGUCCCGCAGAGCCGUGUGCUGAGGAGCGGGAGUUGGAGGGCUGCGCGAGGAGCUCGGUCCUGCAGGGAGCCGUGGCAUCGCUCAGUGUUCCGUGCUGCUUUCUACGGGUCUUCAAUAAAAAGUUACCGUGGAUGCUUUCAAUAAACUCGGCUUGGCUCUUUUCACUCUUUUGCUUUCAGAUGGGUGAGCUUCAGUUGCGUCUCGCAGUCCGCGGGACCGCCAGAAGUUCCUGGUGGGCUGUGAGUGUUUAGGCCGCACCUCAGUGCUGUGCUCAGGUUUGGGCUCCUCACUGUGUGAAAGACAUUGAGGCACUGGAGCGUGUCCAGAGAAGGGCAGCGAAGCUGUGAGGGGUCUGGAGCACAGGUCUGAGGGGGGGCGGCUGAGGGAGCUGGGAUUGUUCACCUGGAGAAGAGGAGGCUCAGGGGAGACCUUAUUGCUCUCUACAGCUGCCUGAAAGGAGAUUGUGGUUAGGUGGGGUUGGCCUCUGGACCCAGGUAACAGUGACAGGACAAGAGGGAAUGCCCUCAAGUUGUACCAGAGGAAGU